UCUUUCUUUCUUUCUUUCUUUCUUUAUCUCUAUCCUUCCCUUAUAUUGCUCCAUAUUUUGCUUAUAUACUCCACAACCACAAGACACAAGCCUCUCCCACUUUAGCUAAAUGGCUAUGUUGUCACGAAAAGCUUUCAAUGCUUAGGAUUAUGUUUUGUUUUUUUAGUGAACAACAUAUCAAUCAAUAUAUAGUAGUACUAGGUAAUAUUGGUAACAACCCUAAUCAUUUUUUUGUCCAAAAACAAAUCAAUAUAUUUGACUUAAACUAGUAUUUGGAUUGAAAAUUCAUAUAUGCUUAGGGUCAUGUUUUAUUUUUUUGGUGAAAAAAUAUUAACAUGUAGUACUAGCUAGGUAGGUAGUAUUGGUAACAACCUAAUAAUUUUUUUGUCAAAAACAAAUCAAUAUAUUUCACUUUAAUUGUGAAUUUUCAAUUAACAAUUAAAAAUAAUUUUUUUAAGGUACACCUCUUAACUUUGAAAAUUUGGAUAACCAUAACCUUCUUCUCAUUUCUUAUAGUGCUAAAAGAAAUGAGGAACCAUUAUCUCGCAUUGUCGCCUACUCUUAGCAUCUCAAAUCAACUAUACAUUUUCGUUAAUAAGGUUGUUCAUAAUGUAACUUGAACUUCAAUGUUAGAGACUAGUCGCCAAGUCUUUUAUUAUAUUCAAAAUUGUACUACUUCUCUCAUUUUCAAAGAAAUGAAGUAACCCUAAUUUUUCCUAAACAAAUUGAUAAAUGUACAAAUAUGUGGUAAUUAAAUUAAUCUUAGCUCAAAUAAAGUUAACUUUAAUAGAAUUUUUAUCAAGAAAGGAUAAACUUUGAGGAGAAACUUUUCAGUUACAAAAAGACCAAAUACACUUCCUUGGCUGCAUACUUGGAUUCACUUUUAGAGGAGUGAUAAACAAAUAUAGAAUCACCAAAUUAAUUCUGAAUACACUAUAGUAUUUCAAUUUUUUACCCUAACUUUAGUUUCAAAUUUAUUGGUUAACUUACAUUUUAAGAAACAAAGAGAAUAUUAUUGAUAUAAACACACAAAAAGUACAAAGAGUACAAGCAAACAGUCUGUGAAAAGUAAAAACACCACCAAAAGCCUCAAUCUUCAAAGCAACUACUCUUGCUCAUGAGACAACUUAAACUAGACAAGUUUCACUUCCUGAACACACUUCAGUCACACUUCAAAUACGGAUUAAGCUUGCUUUGUUCUCCAAUGUCGUUGUUAUUAAUUAUAUAUCCCCUCAAAAAAUAUAUUCCUUCAAUGCUAAAAAAUAUUUAAAGUUUAUUUUUGUGUGUAUCAGAGAAAUGUUCAAUCACUGCAAGUAUAAAGUUAUUUUUGGGAGUGGAUGUAUGCAUCUCGUGUAGGUACUUUUCAAAAAGUACUAUUCUUAGAUAAUUUUGUUGCUAAAAAGAGUAAUGCUCAAAGUAAUUUUCAUGCAAAAGAAAAUCUUAACCUGAAUUAGUACUUUUCCAACUCACAUUAGUACUUUUUUGUUACAGCUCCAACUCACAUUAAAAAUAGGUUUAAUAGAGCUUUAUCCCCCUGUAAUAUAGGUCAUUUUCAGGUUUACCUCAUGUAAAAUUUUGUUUUGGUUUUCGUCCUUGUAAUUAUUUUUUUUUCCAGAAUAUCCCUCUAAUAGGGCAUUUUCAGAAUUUUUUUUCGAGAAAUUUUAGUUUUUGAAUGACCUAUGACUAUUAAGGGGUAUUUUGGAAAAAAAUAAUUUUACAAAGACGAAAACCAAAACAAAUUUUUUACAGGGGACAAAACCUGAAAAUGACCUAUAUUACAGGGGGUAAAACACUAUUAACCCUUAAAAAUAUCAAAACAAUGAAUACUUUCACUUCACUCACAUUCAACUAAAAUUAAUUUACUCAAAUUAACUUACUUGCUACCAAACACCUAAACACAACUAAUAAAAGUUUGAAUUCAAUAGGUAAAAAGUUGACCAGUAUAUUAGAUUAUGGAUUCAACUCCCGUUGUUAAUGUAUUUUUUGUGUGGAUGAUCUCUAUAGAUCUUUGUAAGUAUUUUGUGUUUCGAGGCCUACUUUUGCCCUCUGAGCCCAAAACCUAAACACAAAUCACUUCAAAUCUUAAGGUUUUAGGUUCGAACCCCACUAGUGUCUUUGAAAAGUUCGAAGACUUCCAUGUCUUAAAAGUCCAAAGUUUAUAUCCAAUCAUGGGAAUAUAACAUCGUUAAGUUUCUUAAUGGAAAUCUUCACUCAUUAUAAUCUUAUUCAACAUAUAUAAGAUAAAUCUAAACAAUUGCGUGUGAGUCAAGAUCUUAUCCAUUUAUUAAUUUUUCUAUUUCUUUUAUUUGAAGAAAUAAAAACACAAAAAAUUUGAAAAUAGUGAGAAUCACUUAAUAAUUGGAUUCACUACUUUUUUGUUAUAUUUAUCUUUCAUCAAAUAAUAUUAUCAAUUUAUUUUUAGCAAAUAGGAAAGAUCUUAACUCAUUACGUUGAAGAUAUAUUUAGUUGGCAUUAAAGAAAGCAAUUAUAAUAGGUAGACAAAACGACAAAGAUGAGAAUAUAAUCUAAAUCCAGGCAAGUAAAUAAUAAAUAUGGGAAACCGCGCCGCUAGAUAAGGCUAUUUUGGUCCAACCAAUAUCUUCUCUUUUUCUUCUACUUUUCUCUGUUCCGCACUUUCAUUUCAUUUUCUUUCUUAAAAUAUUUCUCAACUUCACCUACACACAACAGUAACUUAGGGUUUCUUCAAUGAAGAUCGAUCCAACGACACCGUUUCUCAGAUUCAAAAAACUCUAACUCAUCACCCUCAAACAAUUAACUAGAUUUGGAUUUGUGCUGUGUUUGGAUUUGAUUAGAAGAAAAUAAGCUGCUAAAGCUACUAUGGCCUGCAAGGAUGGUAAUAAGCACUUAAUGGAUAAUGGAAAGUAUGUACGUUAUACACCUGAGCAGGUUGAAGCUCUUGAAAGGCUUUAUCAUGAAUGUCCUAAACCAAGUUCAAUUCGAAGACAACAACUUAUUAGAGAAUGUCCUAUUCUUUCUAAUAUUGAACCAAGACAAAUCAAAGUUUGGUUUCAGAAUAGAAGGUAAUAAACUUCAUUCUUGUUGUUUAAUGCAACCUUUUUAGUUUAUGUUUGAUUCUGGAGAAGCUAGAAUUGAUUUUGACAUGUUUGGUUGGUCUCGAGUAUAAUUGAUUUAAUUUUAACUUCAAGUUAGGAUUUGUAGUUUCUAGAGUCGAAACGUAAUUUUUACAUUGAAAUUUAUUGUUUAACUUACUUUUAGAUAGAGAUAUCCAAAUAUUAAUAACUUUACCAUUCAACAAAUCAAUUUUAAAAAAUUGAUUUAUUUAAAUUGAUUUUUGGUUCGGGCUGGCAAAAUUUGAUUUUGAGUGAAUUGAUUUUGUAAAAUUGAUUGUGGCUAAAAGUGAACUGAAUCUGAAGUGAUUUGAACAAUAAAUUUGAGUGUAAAAAUUAAUUCUAAAAUAAAAAGCUCAAUUUUCUAGCUUCAAGUUAGAACCAAUUUUGGUGGCCGAAUCAAUUCUACAUUUUACACCUCUGGAAUCAAUUUUGGCUUGUUUAAAAGUGGAACCAAACAUACAUUUACGAUAAUUUAAUAAUAUAAAUAAAUUUAUAAAAAUGGUAUUAUUUUUUUUCCUUUGGUUGUGUGUUUUAACUGCAUUAUUUUGUUUGAGAAUUGUUAGUUUUUUUAUUAUGUUUUUGGUUGUCAUUAAUUUGUUUUGGUGUUAUGUUGAGGUUAUGUUUUGUUUUUGUUGUGAAUUUAGGUGUAGAGAGAAGCAGAGAAAAGAGUCUUUCAGGUUGCAAGGUGUGAAUAGGAAGUUGACAGCCAUGAAUAAGCUGCUGAUGGAGGAAAAUGAUAGGUUGCAGAAGCAGGUGUCUCACCUGGUGUAUGAGAAUGGCUAUUUUCGUCAAAACACCCAAAAUGUAAGUUUAUGUUGUUGUUGUUGAGAUUCUUGAUAGUCUGUUUAGUUUUUUCAAUUAGGGAGGAACUUUUCCUAUGUAGAACUGACAUGGACAUGACGCUGACACGUCGAUAUCAGUAAUAAUAUGAGAAAAUUUCAUAAUUGAAUGUAAUCACAUGUCCGUGUCGUGUUGGACACUAACAUGCGUCGGACACAGGACACACUUUCAAUUAGAAGUGUCGGUGCCGGAGAGAACUUUUCCCUCCCCUAAAGCACUUGGGAAGUACACAUUUGGAAAAAUACAGUUUUAAUAUUGUCUGGACGUGUGUUUUCGAACAAAAACACAGUUUUUCCCAUUUGGAUGUGUAUUUUUGGAUUCUUUGACUGUUUUUUAGAAAUGUGAGCCUAAUGACACUAUUGUGAAUGAAAGUGAUAUUUGUGAAAUUUAAAUCUUUGUCUUGUGCUUAAUUGUUCUUCUACCCUUACUUUCUUUGCAUACUCAGGCAACCAAAGACACGAGUUGUGAUUCAGUGGUGACUAGUGGUCAGCACAAUAUGACUAGUCAACAUCCCCCAAGGGAUGCAAGUCCUGCAGGGUGAGUGCGAUUGAUGGAUACUUGGUCCCUUUCUGACAUUGGUUUGUGAUAACUUGUUUGUGUACAUAUGGCUAAUGGAAUCCUGGUUUCUCUUUUUCUUUUACUUUUUUCAGGCUUUUGUCCAUUGCAGAAGAAACUUUAGCAGAAUUUCUUUCAAAGGCUACUGGAACCGCUGUUGAGUGGGUCCAAAUGCCUGGAAUGAAGGUAUCUCAAGAAUUAUUUCAUUGGUUGACCCAUUAGUUAUUAGUUACAUUAUUUAAUAAAACAAACUGGUAAAAAAACUGUAAAUCGUCAUCUUGGGAUAACUUAUCAUCCAAUGUUCCAAUAAUCUUCUUUAAUUUUGAUAAUCUUCAUUAGCAUUUAUGUUUGAGUAAUUUAAUUUUUUUAAAAAUACGUUCCUGUUGUUAAUUUUGCUGAUGUGGACAGCCUGGUCCGGAUUCCAUUGGAAUCGUCGCUAUUUCUCAUGGUUGCACUGGUGUCGCAGCAAGAGCUUGUGGUCUAGUGGGACUAGAACCCACUAGGGUAAGUGGUCCAGAUUUGCAAUCUCUAUUAUUGAAUAUCUUACUUGAGUUUAUGAAUCAUGUGGUCAAACAUACACUUUCCAGGUUGCGGAAAUCCUAAAAGAUCGUCCUUUGUGGUUUCGUGAUUGCCGAGCUGUUGAUAUUGUCAAUGUGCUGCCCACUGCUAACGGUGGAACUAUUGAGCUGCUUUAUAUGCAGGUAAAAAACAUUUUAUAAUGCAUGGAUGAAGAUUCUAGAUAUUGAUGAUUGACACUCAAUAACUUGUGUGCUUAUUGUUGCUUUUGAUGACCAGCUUUAUGCACCAACCACAUUGGCACCUGCUCGUGAUUUCUGGUUGUUACGCUACACUUCUGUUGUAGAAGAUGGCAGCCUAGUGGCAAGUGGCUCUAAAAUUCUUAGCCUAAAUUUGUAAUUGAUUAGAUAUUGUAGUUAAUAAUUGACAUUCCUUGUGCAAUGACCCAGUCCUACUGUUAUAUUUUGUAGUCCUACAACACAUAUGUCUAAAUCAUUGUUUAUGUGUGCCUUAGAUCUGUGAGAGGUCUCUUAAAAAUACUCAAAAUGGUCCAAGCAUGCCUCCUGUGCCGCAUUUUGUUAGAGCAGACAUGCUGCCUAGUGGGUACCUGAUAAGACCUUGUGAAGGAGGUGGUUCCAUCAUCCACAUUGUUGAUCAUAUGGACUUGGAGGUACAUUUAUUCAACUUGGUUCUAAUAAUAAUAAUAAUAAUAUUUUUUAACUUGACAUUAACUUGAGCAUCUUGCUACUAUUGAUAGCCAUGGAGCGUUCCAGAAGUACUGCGUCCACUAUAUGAAUCACCAAUGGUGCUGGCUCAGAAGACUACUAUGGCGGUAUGGUUGUUGUAUUUCUUUUACUGAUGGUACACCGGCAUAUAUGCGUUUGUUCUGCUGUUCCUUUUUAAGUCCAGAUUAGAAAAGAUGUUGUCAACUUAAUAGUAACAAUAAUAUUGACUAGUGUGGUUGAAAGGACUAUGACAUAAUUAAUUCUUUCUCUUUUUCAUACAGGCUUUACGUCAUCUAAGGCAGAUUUCGCAUGAAGUUUCUCAGCCCAAUGUCACUGGGUGGGGAAGACGACCAGCAGCUCUGCGGGCACUUAGCCAGAGAUUGAGCCGGUUAGUAUCUUUUGCCAAGGGGGUAUGAUUUUUGUUCUUACACUUCACAAAUAAAUGUGGAAUCUGACAUCUUCUUUGCAGGGGUUUCAAUGAGGCACUCAAUGGAUUUACUGAUGAAGGGUGGACAAUGAUGGGCAAUGACGGUGUUGAUGAUGUCACUAUUCUAGUAAAUUCAUCACCUGACAAGUUAAUGGGUCUGAAUCUUUCCUUUGGCAAUGGAUUUCCUUCUGUCAGUAAUGCUGUGUUAUGUGCCAAGGCAUCAAUGCUAUUACAGGUCAGGAUGCUUAGCAAUUUCGAUGAAUUUCUUUAUAAUGAUAAAUUACAAUAUGUUUCUUAAAACUUUUUUUCGACAAUUACUCAUGUCAAUCAAGCUCAUGACUAUUACUAUGUUAAACAUCCAUUGCAUAACGUGUACUGUCUGGCCUUUUCUUUGCGUAGUAGUUAAGCACGUGUUCUAUUAAGUAAUCAUAUAAUUUAAAUGAUUGUUAAUAGAGACUUCCAAAUGCCUAGGCAAAACAUGGCUCAGAGGGGUACUUAUAGGGACUUGUUUGAUCGCCCAUUUUCUAAUCAAUUGGUAGUAAACAUGCCUAUUUGUUGUAUCCAUAUUAUUUCUGUCCUUUGCCUGUCCUGCUGUACCCCUAUGAAAAGUAUGGGCCAGAGGAAUUGUUAAGUUACACAAAAUUGUAUGAGUUGCAUUGCACAUAUCCAGUGGUUCAUGUUAAGUUCUAUAUUGACACAUUUCAUUUCUUUUUGUCCAGAAUGUGCCUCCAGCCAUUCUCCUAAGGUUCCUGCGUGAACAUAGAUCAGAAUGGGCGGACCAUAAUAUGGAUGCUUACACAGCUGCUGCCAUUAAAGUUGGCCCUUGCAGCUUAACAGGAUCUCGCGUAGGAAAUUACGGGGGUCAAGUGAUUCUCCCGCUAGCACACACUAUUGAGCAUGAGGAGGUGAUAUAUUGGUGCUAAUUAUGCAUUAUAACUACUAUUAAUUUUAUCAUUCCGUAUGACUAACUUUUGGCUUAAUUAUGCUAGUUUUUGGAAGUUAUUAAGUUGGACGGAGUUGCCCAUUCUCCUGAAGAAAUGAUGGCCAGAGAAUUGUUUCUGUUGCAAGUAAUUAUUUUUCUUCCUCAUAUUGUUUGCUCCAUGCUUAACCUUCUUUUACCUGGUUUCCUUGUCGUUUUGAUUUGUACUCCUAACACUUUCAUAGUUACAUCACAUUUUCUAGAGAUCUUAAGGUUCAUAUUUAUUCACCCUGUAAUUGUGCUGUCUAUAUGUUUUGAACUAAUUAAGGACUUAAAUUAUUGUACAUUAUUAUAAUACUUGAAAAUUAGGAAUGAAUAAGAGAAUUUAGGUGUGGUCUCCUCGUCCUGUUUAUGUGAUGCUAUUUCUUCUCUUUACCUGUGUCUGAAAACAACAUCGCCAAUGUCAAUAUAGCUAGCUAGUUUUACUCGGUAUCUUUUGAACUCCCGCUUCCAUUAGAAUGGGGAAGCAUUCUGUUUUAAUGUGAUGAUUCCUAAGACAUAUUUGGUUGUGAUAUUCUUACAUAUAACUCACUCUAUGUUGUUUUGGUAGCUCUGCAGUGGAAUGGAUGAGAAUGCUAUUGGCACCUGUGCAGAACUUAUAUUUGCUCCAAUUGAUGCUUCAUUUGCUGAUGAUGCCCCACUUCUACCCUCUGGGUUUCGUAUCAUCCCUCUUGAAUCUGGAAAAGUUAGUUUCAUAUAUUGCCAAACUAGUUUAUUUGUUUGUAUUCACCUUUCCUCUAGAAUUUUCUUAAUUAUAGCAAUGAUAUAUUUUAUAGGAAUCGUCCAGUCCUAAUCGCACUCUUGAUCUUGCAUCUGCCCUUGACAUUGGCCCUACUGGAAACCGAGCAUCAAGUGAUAAUGCUGGAAAUUCUGGCUGUGUGAGAUCUGUGAUGACAAUAGCAUUUGAAUUUGCAUAUGAAAGUCAUAUGCAAGAGAAUGUAGCAUGCAUGGCACGCCAAUAUGUUCGCAGUAUUAUAUCAUCAGUCCAAAGGGUAGCGUUAGCACUUUCUCCUUCUAAUCUGAGUUCACAUGCUGGGCUGAGGUCACCGCUAGGUACCCCUGAAGCACAAACCCUUGCUCAUUGGAUCUGCAACAGUUAUAGGUACGUGUCUUGCCGAGGCUGGUUAAAUAUACUUAAUUAUGAUACAAGUGGGCUUGUCCUGAAUAACCUUAUUAUAUACGGAAACCUUUACUUUUCAAGAUUUAACAAGGAUGAGAUGACAACUAAACUUAAUAUACUAUCUCAUUCACGAAAGACACUGCAGCUCUGUCAAUGAUAGGUUUGGUGAGUUGUAUACAUAGAGUGGGAUAUUCUUUUUUCCAUACUGUCCUUAUCCUCUGACCUUCCAACCUUUUGAAUAAUUGAAAAUUCCAAAAUAGUUUUGCUAGCGGCGAAGCUGAGUUCUGUAAAUAGAUGCAUAUCAUAACCCCAAGUUCUGGUGUAGUUUUGCAGUUGAAAAUUUCCAACUAGUUGACGGUCUUGCAAAUCUCUUAUUUUUUAACUUCUUAUCAAAUACUUUUUGACAAAGAUUGAAUGAAAUGCUUCCAUUUAGUAUUCAAUAUCUUAGCAUGCACUACAUUAAUGGUUGCUUUUCAUAAAUUCUGUGUUUUGCUAGUGGGCUUGUUCCUUCUUACUUGUAAAUUUUAUUGCUGAACAACUGUAAAAAAGUAUUGUAUUUAAUGCUCAUUUAAUAGGCAGAAACUGGUACAUUGAUCACAGUGCUGUUUUUUGAUUAUCUUUGUUUUGCAGAUGCUACUUAGGCGUGGAGCUACUUAAAUCUAAUACUGAAGGAAAAGAAUCUGUACUCAAGUCCUUGUGGCACCACUCUGAUGCUGUAUUAUGCUGCACUCUAAAGGUAUGCUUCAAAUUGAUUUCUAUUUCAUAGGACGUGCAUUUUAUCUCAUGUAUCUCCUGUCUGCAGUGCAAUUUAUUUGUCUAAUGCAAAAAUAUAUUAAAAAAUUAGUUGAACUAUAAAAUUGGGGAUGUCAAAAUGAGCUAUAAAGCCUGAAAAGGCUGAAUUUGAAUAUUAUUUUCUCUGAAGUUUACUUAGGUUUUAUUGUAUUUUGCCUCAAGCCUUCAACUAUAGAUCCUUAGGAUCUUUACCUGUCAGUUUUGAAAACCUUAUUAUUCUUGUUCAAACCAUACGAGUUGAAAUAUCAAUGAAAUACUCUAGUUGUUUAUGUUAAAAAAAGAAAUUCAACUAGAACUAUUAUUAUAAUCUUCUACCUUCUUUGAAUUAAGCAGGCAAUGCCAGUGUUCACUUUCUCAAACCAGGCAGGGCUUGACAUGCUGGAGACUACGCUUGUUGCAUUACAAGAUAUAAGUCUGGAGAAAAUAUUUGAUGAUAAUGGUCGAAAAACUCUCUUUUCGGAGUUCCCCCAGAUUAUUCAACAGGUCUACAAUUUUUUAUUUAUUAAAAUGCACCGUUUUUUUUUUUAUUUUUUAUUUUAAAUCUAGUUUCCUUCUGAAUUGGCGGUAUGCUUUCAGUAGACCAUCAUUUUCAGGCUUUAUAAUGCUCUUUAUUAAUUUCGCCUCGUUCUCUUAUGAUAGGGUUUUGCAUGUCUGCAAGGUGGUAUUUGUCUCUCAAGCAUGGGACGACCUGUCUCAUACGAGAGAGCUGUUGCUUGGAAGGUGCUGAAUGAUGAACAGAAUGCUCAUUGUAUUUGCUUUAUGUUUGUGAACUGGUCUUUUGUUUGACAUUAUGUUCGGAGUUAUAGGUAUCAGUGUGUUAAGAUGAAGACUUACUCCAAGACAUUUAUGCUGUAUUGUUUUUGUUUUUGCUUUUGUACUUUCCCUGAAUUUGCUCUGAAGACUUGGAUUUGCAUAUGCUAUGACUAUUUGUGUUAGCCUAUGUUGCUUUUAUUCCUUCUUUAUUCUCCAGCUAAUAUUUUGUGCUGGAAAUAAUUUGCACAUCGGGUGUGUGAUAAAUUUUUAUCGAUGCUUUGACACAAAUUUUUGGGGAUUAAAAUUGGCUUAUCAUCGUUACAUCCCAAUUCACUAUGUAUGCAAAUAUGUCACGACUCGUGGUGACCUCGAGAUGAUUUCUUUCUAUACUCUUUGGCUGAGAUGAUUUCUUUCUAUACACUUCGGCUACGUGCAAUUUACCAUUAUAGAAAGUACAUGUUUCAUGUUUAACUUAACUUUGAAAUCAUGAACGUGAUUGCGCCAAGAUCUAAUAAAUGGGAUUUCCCACGUCUUUCUUAAGGUAUAUACACAAUUUCUGUCAUGGUUAAAGAUGAUAUGGCCUCAUUGCUCAACAACUAUAAUCUCAGCAUCACUUAGGGUGAAAAAAAUCAGCGUAAAUAGGAACAAAAUCAGCCUUUGAGGUACCUAUUCCUAUUCCACUGAUUUUUUUUUUUGUCUGCUCAAUAUUGGAUAGUGAUGUCUAAAUAGGAAGUAACGAGUGCUCAAGUAAUGAUUCCACUGCUUUUUUAAAAUGUGGGAAUAUAUGGCUUGUAUUGUUUCCUUCUAAUCUUUAGGACAACUUGUAAUUAAAGCACAUUAUCAAUAAAUUGUUUAGCUUAUCAAAAUAUUAUUAUGUGCUUGUGGAUAGAUGCUUGUCUUCGUCAUAUGAACAAAUCGAUAACGGCUUAAUCAUCAUUCACAUAUUCAUUGCAACUACCUUCAACAACUUUCCUUCCUCUUUUUUCAUGAUUCAUUAAGCUCCUCGUGAACUGAAAGUACAAGUAUGUGGAGGAAAGCUCUAUACUUAGCAAGUUCAUUCCCUUCUUUUGCGUGUAAAUAACUUCACCACAAAAGAAGAAAGUGGAGGAUGGGUUUUAGCCACUUCUAUUCUAAAAAAAGAAAGAAGAAAGCAUAGGGAAAGUAUAUACAUUUCACCAUGCAUGUGAGUACCUAUACGUUGUGGUCAGUUGGUAUUGGACCACAUAAAAUCGAUUGCAAAAAGAAGGAACUUCUUAUUAGUGGAAAAAGAAAUUUUUUCAUUAAAUGAAUGAAUAUAAAGAGGGCUCAUCAUAAUUCUAUCCAAAAUGGGACUGUUUCAAAAUAUUUUUUUUUCUUGAAAUUUUUAACAAUGAUACGUAAUGAAAGGAACUUUAAAACUUUGUACAAUGAUACGUAAAGAAAGGAACUUUAAAAUUUGUACCAUUCAAAAGAAAAAGAAAAGAACUAAUUUAAAAUAAAAUUUUGGCUCUCAUUUUAUGAAACUUACAAAAUCCAAUGCGUCAACCAAUUCCUCAACUUCAAGACACUAGUAGUAAGUAGCUUAAGCCAUGGGAGGUUUUUUUCCAAUGCCACACGAGAGUAAAAGUAACUCUGUCGAAGCAUAUGUUUAAUUUCAAUUUUGAAAGGUCAAAAGUGAUUUCGGAGAUUGUAGUAUUGAUUUUACAAUGUUUGGAUGAUUUAAAAGAAAAUUGAUUUUGCUUAUAGAAACUAGAAUUUGUACCUUUAUCUUCCACAAUUUACUUUAUCCUUACUUUUUUUUUUUACAAAAACUUAAAUUUAUUGUUAAAUUCACUUGUACAUAAAUACAUCCAAACAUUAAUCACUUUAUAUUCUAAUUGGCGGGUUUCGAACCUAGGAUACACUACUUAUUCAUCUUAAUAUACGAAUUUUUAUCUAUUAGGUUACUUGAUCAAUAAAAAUAAAAUUUUUUUUAGGUCAUUAUGAUCCUCAUUUCUAAAAAACAAAAUUGCAAGAAUUUUCAUAUCAUGAAUAAUAUUAGGAUUUGAAUUAAUCACCGAAGUGUUAAAACUCUUGUUGGUAAUUGAAAAUAAAAAGGCUAGCAGUAUCGGGUACAGUGAUUUGUUGUUGUUGUAAUAUUUGGGCACAUUCAAAUUCUUAUUCUUACCCAAAGUAGGAGUGAUUUUUCAUGUUUUGUCAACGCCACGUACAUUCAUCUAAUUCUUCAAUAGUGUAAGCUUGUUGAACUUUAUAAAUACCUAGGUAAACCUUUAUUUUUAGUUAAUGGCAAAAAUAUAUAAAUAUACCUAGCUAAACCUGUAAAUAAAUUUGCGGAUAUAAUUGAAUAUAUCUUCAAUAGAUAUAAGGUAUUACAUAGGUCAUCAUGCAUGUCAAGUCAAGCUUCCUAAUAGACAUAUUAGACCUUAAAAAAAUUGCAUUGAUCAUAUGAAGAAAUCAUACUCAAAUGUUAUAAUUCACCAUGACUUAAAAGUUAUAUAACUCUAACUGAACCAGACCUCAAACGUUUAAUUCACCAUGACCUAUCAUUCAUUUUAGUUUACAUAUUUUAUGUAGUCAAUUUCAAGCUAUAUGUAUGUAUAAUAUAUGUAGGUAUGAUCAUCUACUAGAACAAGGGGAAAACAUUCAAAAAAUGUAAAGAAAAUAUAUAUAGAGUAGGAAAAAGUGGCACAUCUCGUUAUUAUAAUUACACCAUUAUCAGCCAUGGAAAGAAAUCAUGCACGUAGAUGAACCAUUGGUUUCACGUGUUUUUUUACUUUUUUUCUUCGAGACAAAACUAUUCCAACCAUGAAAGUUCACUUUAGAAGUAAAACAAUUAUGUAAUAAAAAAAAGCCACAAUCUUUCAAUUUCAGAUUGGAUAAACAUUUAUUUCAAAUUUCUAAAAGCUUCACUAGUCAUUGCUUCUCAUUAAAUCUUUCUCGAAAAAUCUAGUUAGUUCACGACUUGGAAGAUGACAUUUGAGUUUCUAAGAUCCAUACACUUUCUUCCAAUGUUAUAUGCCAAAGUAUUAUAAAUAGGGUUAUCCUUUCCUUGAAAAGUUAUAAGUCUCUUUUCAAAUAGCCUCAUUAUUUAAUCCAACACAAAAACCAUACUUUUCUACAAUCAAGUUCAAUAUAUUUCUUAUCAUGAUUAUGGCACCUCAUGGAGAAUCUUUGUUGUCAAGUUCAUUCUCAAGGAACAACAAUACCACAUCAAACAAACCAACAAAGCUUUCAACUUCCGACCACCUUCAAAGAACGGUCUCCGAUAUUUCCUUCGAGCUGAUGGCGAAAGAAGCAAUUGACAAUUUAAAACUACCAUCGAUAUCCGAAGUUGAAGAUGCAAAGUGCGAGUGUUGUGGCAUGUCUGAAGAGUGCACACCCGAGUACAUAGAUCGUAUUCGCAACAAGUUCAAAGGGAAAUUUGUGUGCGGUUUGUGUUCGGAGGCGGUGAAAGAAGAGUUGGAGAAAAAUGGUGGGAAAAAAUUAGAAGAAGCAUUAAACACACAUAUGAAUGCAUGUGUUAAGUUUAACAAAUAUGGUAGGGCUUUUCCAGUUUUGUUUCAAGCACAAGCUAUGAAAGAAAUGUUGAAAAAGAGUAACAUGGAUGGGAAAAUUAGGGCUAAGUCAAUUAGUCCAAGGGACAAGAAUGGAGGAGGAGGGCUUGCUCGUAGUUCAAGUUGUAUUCCAGCACUUACAAGAGAGAUCAACAAUAUCAAAAUAGCCAAUUAACUAUCUAUCUCUUUGAGCACGAAAUCUUUAUACUAUAGUUAAUUAUAAUGUUACUAUAAGUAUAAAGCUAGUUUUUCUUUUACAUAGACCUUGUUACAAGCUAGUUGCCUAAGGUUUUUUUAGGGUAUUAUUGACCCUUUUACUUCUCAAGGCUGCUUAGUUUUUUUUUGGUCUGUGCAGUUUUUAUUUUAUAACUUCAUGAAAUGUACCGUAGAUCUUACCAAUCAUAUGUUAUGGAAUAAAAUUUCACUUGGUGUACUGAUAUCAUGUGAUAAUUAUCAUGUCAAUUUUUUCUCCGAUAUUAAUUUUAUUUUCAACAAGUCAAAAUGAAAUAUAUUAACACGAGAGAAAAUAUCAUAUCCAGAACAAAGUGUACCAGAAUAGAAUACGAAAGUCUUACAAAAGCAAUAAAUUGAACAAGACCAAAAAGUAAAAUUACCCAAUGCCCAAACAAAAAAAAAUACUAAGCCAUCAACUAUAGUAUUAAAAUAAAUAUGAGCAAAUUUGGCCUUCAACCACAGUAAGAAAGUAGCUUAAUUUUGUAAAGAAGGUGUUUAUUGGAACUUUCUUUAUUAUUAAAAAUAAUGUCAUCCGAAAUUUUGAAACACCUUUGUAUUGACAUCCAUCUUAUGUAGCUUCAAAAUUAUAAAAGAAAACUAAUAUCAUGACUGUCCUAAUAUAGUCUUUCGAUUAAACUAAAUAGAAUUUCUUUUUUCAACAAAUUCUUAAUAACACUAAAAGCCCAAGCUGUCAAACUGAACAAAAUGAUCUCGUAUUAUGUAUUAUCAAAAACAAGAAACUAAGCUUGUUUUUGUCUACUGUAUAUUACAUCGUUGGUUAAUAAGAAACUGAAAUUAAGUAACAAAAAACAGGAAAGCUGAAAGGAAAAAAAUCAAAGUAAAUCUCUCGUUACAUGAUUUGUAAAUUUAGAAGAAUAAUUGAUAAAUAAAAACCAUAAUGCCAUGGUGCCUUAAAUUUCUGAUGGGCCGAUCAUUGUUACUUUUAGGUCGGGAGUAUCCGACGAACCGAAGAUCGAUUGAUGGUGGCAUUCGAAUGAGUAUUGGACUAAGGUGUUUUGAAGGUGAGGUGUUGGUUGGUUUUUAUGGUUUUUUGCAGGGCUUUUGGUGUGAGCAGCGGACAAUAGGUGUUUGUAUUUUGGUUAAGUGGUCAUUCGGGAUGGAGUUUGAAUUUUGGGCUCAAGUUUUAGUUUAUGAUGUUGUGUGGGGGCUUGGCGCUGAUUUGUGAGUUGACAUUGGCUUUGGUGAUAGCCUCAGUUAGGUGGUGUAUUUAUUGGUGUUUUUGAUGUACAAAGUGUGUAAUUUUAUUUUUGGGUGUUCCGCCUAUAUAUGACGCUCUUUGGUGAUAGCCUUAGUGGUGUCUUUAUUGGUGUUUUUGAUGUACAAAGUGUGUGAUUUUUCUUUUGGGUGUUCCGCCUAUAUAUGGCGCUCUUUGCUAUGUUUGAUUCUGUUUUACCGAUUUCUAUUCAUCUUGUGCAAAGACUUGGUUAUCAAUAAAUUCUAUCUGGAAAAAAAUGUCAUGCAUCUGGAAGCGCGUGCACACACACACACAUAUAUAUAUAUAUAUAUAAGCACAUCUGAAGAAAAAAAAUGUCAUGCAUCUUAUGCAAAGACUUAGUGUAUGUUUUCAACAUAGUAUUUAAUACUGAUUGAAGAAAAAGAUAUAAAAUAAAUAAGGAUAUGUUGGUAAAGAAUUACUGAAUGUACUUGAAAAUACCAAAUAUGUCUUAUAAAAAGAGACAAAAAAUUUCUCAAAAGGAUCUUAUAUUUAGGGAUAGAUGUAGUAUUUAUGAAAUAGUCAACGUUUUUUUUUUUUUUGUUACAAGGGAUAAAGGAAAGAAACAAAGAAACUGAAAGACAUGAACAAAAGAAAAAAAAGAAAACAGUCUAAACAGACCUACAAAUAAUUAUCCCUAGGGAAGAAAGUUUCCCUAGCGUCAUUUCUAAGUAGAUCACUCAUUCCCUGAGGCGUAGACAAGUGGAUAAACAACGCAGAAUCUGAAGAAGCUCUUAACUUGGGCAAAAAAAUCAACGCAUUGAUUACCCUCCCGCAAAGUGUGAAAGAUUAAAGUGUUGUUGGAGGAUACCAUAUUCUUUAUAUCUUAAAUGAGAGCAGCAUAAAUAUAAUAUUUUAUGGUUGGACAGGUAAUAAGAUUUAAGCUGAGAAGGAAAUCCGUAUAAAACACAAAUUCAGGAGUAUCCAUUUCUCGAGCCAACAUAAACGUUUUUAAUUUAACACCAAGGGAAUAUCACUUAUCAAUAGGACAAGAGGAUGUAUUUAAAAAUCUCAUCUUUUAACAUAUUCCAAUGAUUUAGGCGAAAUGCGCGUGUUAUCAAUAAUUUUCAUUUUGGGACAAAUGCUCCAUGAGAUUUCCUUUGAAGUUUGAAUUCAACUUCAAAAGUCUUUGCCUCUUAACUCUUAAGGCAACUCCUCCGACCAAUCACAAUCGGCUCUAUAAAACAACAUAAAAAAAUUAAAAGAUAAAAAUAAAGUAGCACUAAAUAAUUUGAACCAUUAAAAUAAAGUAGCACUAAAUAAUAUAUAAAUAAAUAAAUAUCUAUGCACCCACGGGUUAUUCAAGUUCUAGGGUUAGUUGAUUCAAACACAAAAAGAAAAAGAGAAGAAAAAAAAGAAGAAUAAAAAAACACCACGUUUUUCUUUCUAUUUCCUUUCCCUAUUACAUUCACUCACAUGAUAUAUAUAUAUAUAUAUACCCAUCACCCUUCCUCUUCAAUUCAUCCCUUUGUGUCUCAAUAUUCAUCUCUCUCUCUCCAAAAAAAUCUCUCUAGCUCUCUCUUUCUGUUCUUCAAAUAAAAAUCCAACCAAACUAAAUUAAAACAUCAAUAUACAAAAUGGAAAACAACGUACCAAUAAUAACCAAGAGAGUAUGGAGUAUGAUACGUGUGGCUUUGUUCAUGUUAAGAAAAGGCAUAUCAAAGGGAAAACUAAUGAUGGACCUCAACAUGAUGGUUAAACACCGCGGCAAGCUCGCCGGAAAAGCCAUCACCAACCUCAUGUUUCAUCACCACCACGGUGGCUCCACCUCAAGCCGUCGUAACGACACACGCCUCUCUACCACAAGGGAGUAUGAGUUCAGCUGUAGCAACACCCCUAAAUACAAAUUUUCAUUUAACAACAAACGCCACCGCAACAACCACUUCUUCACGUGUGCUCACGCGCCUCUCACACAAGACGAUGACAUUGUUACCGUUAAUGCGGUUAAGGCUGUGUUAGAGAAAAUGGUAAACAAUAAUGAGGUGAUAGGUGAGGCUUCCCCGGUGCUCCCCGGUUCUCGACGAACUCCUAUGACCAGGCAGUUGAUGGUUAAUGACCUUGACACCGAUACGGAUGCCGAGGUAGACAAGGCUGCCGAAGCAUUUAUAAAGAGGUUUUACUUGCAGUUGAAGUAAGAGGAUGGAGUUUUGUUUCACAAUUUUGUUUCUUAACAUUUAAUUAAUGUUACUUUGUGAUUUGUGAUUUAUGAUUUAUGAACAUACAAAGCUGGUAUGCAGUUUUGGAUAGUACUAGCUUCAUGCAUGUCUUUGUGGAACCUUAGGAGAAGAUCAUGGACAUGCAUGAUAAUUUUGUUACUUUAUUUUUUUAUAUAUGUUGAGAGUUUAUUGGCAAAAUUAAUAUCCUCUGUGAAUUUGUCAAAAGAAAUAUGAAAGUUCCAUUUUUAGAGAGAUAUAUAAUCGCAAAAAAUCAAGAUGAAUAAAAUUAAGGUAUCUUGUGUUAAACAUAGUUUGGGUCGGGGACAUAUGUCCUCAAAAUGCUCCAUAGCCCAAACUUGAAAGAAGAAAAAGGUUAAGAACACAUCCAGGGCUGGUCCUAGGAUUUUUCGUGUCCUGGACGAAACAAUAAAUUGUACCCUUUUAAUUAUUUUAAUAUUUUUUUUCUUGCAUUUUUUGUUGAAAAAUAUUCGUUUAUAUAUAAUCAAAGUUAUAUAAAAAUAUAUUUUCAAUAGAAUUAACCAAAGCGAAUUAAAAAAAAAUAAUAUAUCUAUAUAAUACUAACUACUAAAUAAAAAUAAUAAUUUUGGUGCCUCUAAAAAAGUGGUGCCCAGGGCUACCGCCCCUCGUGCCCGCCCUCAGGGCCACCCCUGAACACAUCCAAAAUAUCUUAAAUGUCAUGCAAGCGGUAUAUCUUUAAUGUUAGUAACACAUCAGUCAAAAUAUCUUAAAUAUCAUACAAUAUGAUGAUAUUCUCACCAAUGGAAAAAAUGAAAGCUACUCGUGUCCCUAUGCCACCACUUUGUCAAUGUCGUGCAUGCAUGUGUUCUUAUUAACUUGACCAUAGUUGGUAUCAACAAGGUUUGGUGUUGGCUAGCAGCGGCGUGGUGGCUGGUAUUGGCAUAGUUGGUAGCCUUUUGGAGCUUUUUUGGUUUUUAGGAUCUUAUUGUGUUUCUUUAGUGCUUUUGGGAGUUUACUACUAAAACAAUGCUAGUUUUCUUGUCUUAGCCCAAUUCGAUAACAUUUUGUAUUCGCAUUUGUGUAUUAUCUUAAAAUUUUCCCUUUGAAAAAAAACAUAAAAUUAGUAUUAUAUAUGUAAAGAAAACAUAAAUAUGAUUAUAUUUUUAUAUACUACUCUGACCCAUAUCUUGACUGCAAUGUGCUUACAAAAAUUUGGCAUGAGUGACAUAUGAGAAGGAUCAACACCAAUUCUAUUAUUAGCGUCCUCUGGUGGCGGUUGUGGUGGGUUAUGUGGUGGAGAGCCUUCAGCCGAGUCUGUAACUUUUGUAUGUCCCUACGCAUGAAAUUGUGCAAUAUCUCCCUUCAUGUCUACCAACAUCGUCCACCAUAUCUAGAGCUACCAACAAAAAGAGACAAAUUAAUCAUUAAAGUAUUUCAUCAAACAUAUAGAGCUAAAAAAACAACAUUUACAUUUCUAAUUAGCAUUUGAAUACCACAUUUCGCUAGUUCAAACCCUAAAAUACAUUCACAUUCACAUCCUAACUACUUGAUCAACAACAACAAAGUUCUGAACUACAUUCACAUUCAAAUUCUAAAAUAAACCCUAUCUCGCAACAAACACAAAAUGAGAGAAAAUAAACAUUUGUUGGGUUUAAGAAGAAAUGUCAAAAUAAAUACAAUUUCUUCGACCCUAGGUUGAUGAAAAUCAAUUGUUGAACUAUAAGAAUGUUUGGAUAUAAAGAAUUCAAAGUAAACGCAUAUAAGAACAAGUCUUUUAUUCUUGUAUAAGGCUGAUGUAGAUUGGAACGUAACCCUUUGUCGUUAUAUAAAGGAGAAUUUUGGGAUAACGUGUAAGCAAUUCAAAGGUUACAUGGAGAACCUUUCAAAGUUUGUAAUCUUAUUAUGAUUUUUUUUGUUUGUUUUGCGGUUUAUGUUUUUUAUUCUUAGAAAAUAGGUCUUUCAUCUCUUAAAAAUUCAUUUUAUUUUAAUUACAUUUUUAUUAUAUAUCAGAAUGUUAGAAUAUUAGCGAGUAUGUAGCAAUAACAAUCUUUAAAAAAUUUAUAGAAUUAAAAAAAUCAUGAAAAAUUUAGUUAAAAAUCAUACUAAAAGAAUCUAAGAAAAUGCACCUAAGUUUAUAAAAGGGUUAAUGGUACUUUAUCCCCCUGUAAUAUAGGUUAUUUUUGGUUUUCCCCCCUGUAAAAUAUUUUUUUUUAUUUACCCCUUGUAAAUUUUUUUUUUGAAUACCCCCUAAUAGGUCAUAAAAAAACGACUUUAUUUUUUUUUUUGCAGAAUUUUUUCGUUUUUUUAUGACCUAUUAGGGGGUAUUCCAAAAAAAAAAAAAAUUACAGGUGAGUAAAUCAAAAAAAAUAUUUUACAGGAGGGAAAACUAAAAAUGACCUAUAUUACAAGGGGUUAAAGCACCAUUAAUCCUUUAUAAAAUGUACACAAUAUCACGUUAGAUUCAACUUCAAAGUCUUACCUCUUAACUCUUAAGGCAACACCCCUCACCAAUCAUACUCAGUUAAACUAAAUAAAAUAAAAUAAAAAAAAAAGCUAAAACUAAAGUAGCACUAAAUGAUAAAUAUCUAUGUACCCACACCACGGGUUAUUCAAAAGUUCUAGGGUAGGUUGAUUCAAUCACACAAAAAAAAAAACACGUUUUUCUUUCUCCUCUUUUUCCCCAUUACAUUCACAUAUAUAUACACCCAUUUCCCUUCCUCUUCAAUUCAUCCCUUUCUUUGUGUUUCAAUAUCUCUCUCCAAAAAAUAAAAUCUCUCUAGCUAUACCUCUUUCUUUCCUUCAAAUUAAAUUAAAACAUCAAUAUACAAAAUGGAAAACAACGUACCAAUAAUAACCAAGAGAGUAUGGAGUAUGAUACGUGUGGCUUUGUUCAUGUUAAGAAAAGGUAUAUCAAAGGGAAAACUAAUGAUGGACCUCAACAUGAUGGUCAAACGCCGUAGAAGCUUGCCGGAAAAGCCAUCACCAACCUCAUGUUUCAUCACCACCAUGGUGGCUCCACCUCAAGCCGCCGUAAUGACACACGCCUCUCUACCACAAGGGAGUAUGAGUUCAGCUGCAGCAACACACCCAACUACAAAUUUGCCCUAAACAACAAGCGUCAUAACUUCUUCACGUGUGCUCACGCGCCUCUCACAAAAGAAGACGACAUUGUAACCGUUAAUGCGGUUAAAGCUGUGUUGGAGAGCAUGGUAAACAAUAAUGAAGUAAUUGUCGA
rnacentral:lncRNA from 1 species